UACGAAGGGGCUAGCGUUGUUCGGAAUUACUGGGCGUAAAGGGCGCGUAGGCGGCCUGCUAAGUCGAACGUGAAAUCCCGGGGCUCAACCUCGGAACUGCCUUUGAUACUGCAAGUCUCGAGUCCGAUAGAGGUGGGUGGAAUUCCUAGUGUAGAGGUGAAAUUCGUAGAUAUUAGGAAGAACACCGGUGGCGAAGGCGGCCCACUGGAUCAGUACUGACGCUGAGGUGCGAAAAGCGUGGGGGAGCAAAACAGG
rnacentral:rRNA from 1 species